rnacentral:ncRNA from 1 species
UCUCUGGUUGAUCCUGCCAGUAGUCAUAUGCUUGUCUCAAAGCUUAAGCCAUGCAAGUGUCAGUACAUACUAAAUUAAAGUGAAACCGCAAAGGGCUCAGUAAACCAGUUUUAAUUUACUAGAGUUUUCACGUUUCGUACGUGGAUAACUGUGGUAAUUCUAGAGCUAAUACAUGCAACUAAGUCCGGACCAGAAAUGGAAAGGACGCUUUUAUUAGAUCAAAACCAUUCGCCCGGCUUGUCUGGGCGUUGUUUUGGUGAAUCUAGAUAACACUUGUGAUCGUACAGUCACCGUACUGACGACAUCUCUUUCAAACGCCUGACUUAUCAGCUGUCGAUGGUAGACUCUGUGUCUACCAUGGCCCUCACGGGUAACGGGGAAUCAGGGUUCGAUUCCGGAGAGGGAGCCUGAGAAACGGCUACCACAUCCAAGGAAGGCAGCAGGCACGCAAAUUACCCACUCCCGGCACGGGGAGGUAGUGACAAAAAAUAACGAUACGGGACUCUAUUGAGGCCCCGUAAUCGGAAUGAGUACACUUUAAAUCCUUUAACAAGGAUCCAUUGGAGGGCAAGUCUGGUGCCAGCAGCCGCGGUAAUUCCAGCUCCAAUAGCGUAUAUUAAAGUUGUUGCGGUUAAAAAGCUCGUAGUUGGUUCUGCGUGCCGCGCUGUCGGUUCGCCGCCUGUCGGUGUAACUGGCAUGUUCGCGGCAUGUCCUGUCUGUGGUGAACAGGGUCCACGAUGCUGCAUUAGGCUUUUAAAGGCCGAUGUUAGCGUCGUGUGUACUUUUGUUGGGCCGAUCUCUCCUACUUCGUGCUCUUAAACGAGUGUCGAGGUAGGCCGA